rnacentral:rRNA from 1 species
UACGUAGGUGGCAAGCGUUGUCCGGAAUUAUUGGGCGUAAAGCGCGCGCAGGCGGUUCUUUUAAGUCUGAUGUGAAAGCCCACGGCUCAACCGUGGAGGGUCAUUGGAAACUGGAGAACUUGAGUACAGAAGAGGAAAGCGGAAUUCCACGUGUAGCGGUGAAAUGCGUAGAGAUGUGGAGGAACACACGGUGGCGAAGGCG